UGCAGAAUUCCGUGAAUCAUCGAAUCUUUGAACGCACAUUGCGCCCGCCAGUAUUCUGGCGGGCAUGCCUGUUCGAGCGUCAUUUCAACCCUCAAGCCCCCGGGCUUGGUGUUGGGGCUCGGCCCGUCCCUAGCGGCGCGCCGUCCCCGAAAUCUAGUGGCGGUCACGCUGUACUCCUCUGCGUAGUAAUCUAACCUCGCAACGGGACAAAGCGCGGCCACGCCGUUAAACCCCCAACUUCUGAAGGUUGACCUCGGAUCAGGUAGGAAUACCCGCUGAACUUAAGCAUAUCAAUAAGCGGAGGAA
rnacentral:rRNA from 1 species